rnacentral:rRNA from 1 species
ACCAUCUAGGGGAGCCGUAGGGAAACCGAGUCUUAACUGGGCGUUCAGUCUCUGGAUAUAGACCCGAAACCAGGUGAUCUAGCCAUGGGCAGGUUGAAGGUUGAGUAACAUCAACUGGAGGACCGAACCGACUAAUGUUGAAAAAUUAGCGGAUGACUUGUGGCUAGGGGUGAAAGGCCAAUCAAACCUGGAGAUAGCUGGUUCUCCCCGAAAGCUAUUUAGGUAGCGCCUCGGACGAAUACUACUGGGGGUAGAGCACUGUUAAGGCUAGGGGGUCAUCCCGACUUACCAACCCUUUGCAAACUCCGAAUACCAGUAAGUACUAUCCGGGAGACACACGGCGGGUGCUAACGUCCG